CCAGCAUGGGAUAAGUUCCAAAAGCGGAUAGUUCCCAAGAUGUUCUCUAGUUUCCUCCUUUGUUGUUGUUGUUGUAGUUGUUUUUUAAUUUGAUUCAUUUACUUGGUGCUGUAAUCUGCAUGGAUGGAGGGUGGUGGUGGUGGCUGGCAGUAGCAACAUUUUGUAGGGAACAUAACACUUAACUUCCUGCCUUCUCUGCCUUCCCCUAGCAACCUUUUCUUUUUCGUGCUGCAGCAAUAAACACUUGUCUGGUUCAGCAUCACCACAGAAACUGCUUCAGUGCCGGGCUCAUCCAAUCAGAGACCCGCCUGCCACAUUGAGCGCUACCCUAGGAGUGACAGGAAAGCCAUUUCCCGUCUUUUCCACAGGAGGGCAGGUGCCCUUCCUCUGCCAGCCAAGGUGACCUCGACCAAGUUGCUCACUGAACCUGCUCAGCCAUCCCUCAUCUCACCCAGCACGGUCAAAGGCUCAGAACGCAUGACUAACUUAGCCCGAGUCAGGCUCCCACCUUUUGGCUAUUCUAGAAUUGAGCUCAGAACAUAGAGACCAGGAAGUCUCAGCCUUCCCCAUCCCCUCCUCCACUCACCUUUGCUUGCUCCUAGCUCCAGUCUUCUGGCUGAGGCCGUGCCAGCUUGCGUUGACUACCAGCACCACAUCAUGUUCUCUGCCCUAACUCCCAUGUACUCAGGAAAACUGCCAGCCCAUUCUGAGUCAGGCUUGGUCACAAAUGAAAGCUGAGGAUGGAUGAGGCCCAACUCCGGGUGCCACGUCUGGAUUCCCCGGAGCAGAGGCAGGCACCAGUGCCAGCCUCAGAGAAAAUCUUACUGUCCCACUUGAGUGACUUUGUUUAAAAAAAGAAAUCUGCUGAAGGUUUUUAAGUGGCACGCCAUCAUUUAUUUACAGAGAAAGGUAUCACUUUAACAAAAUCAGGAGUCCUUCGGGGGCAGAUUAUUCUGUAAUACCACUUUCAUUAUCAGAGAACUCUCGAUACAAAGUGUUCUACAAAACUACAAGAAGAAUCAGGCUAGCCUUUUAAGGACAUCAUCAAAAAUCAGGCCUACCCAAUAAAGGCAGAGGCAGAGCUCUAUAAAAUUUGGUGAAUCCAGGACCACUUAAACAAGUCAGACAUAUAGAUGAUGGAAGACAUGGGACGUGAAUUUCUUUUGCUGGCUUUCUCAUUCCUCCUAUUCUAUCACUUAAAGCAUUUACCUGCCAGCCCCCAACAUCCCAGAUCUCUCCCCACUACCCUUGGAGAGCUCAUUUCUUCUCCUGGCUCCAAAUCUUGCCCCUGUAGACACCUAUCCCUUAUCUCUGUCUGCCACUUAGAUAUAGCACCAUCACCUUCAACUUAGUAGGUUGAGAAUUGAAGCUCUCUCCCAGGAGAGCACCAGUUCCACGUCACCAACUGGGUGUUAGUGAUGCUGCUAAGUUUUCUAGUCACUCAGGUUUGUGACCUUGGACUUGCUGCCUCCUUUUUGGUCCCUCUGACAUGUCUCCUCUUUCCUCCUUCCCUGCCCACUCCUCCAUCCCAUUCUUUACAUCACUCCUAGGCAAACCUUUCUUUGACCUGACACUGCUUUCACUACAUUCUUUCUUUCCCUGCUCAAACUUUCCCAUACCCAACUGGCUCCUCCAUGUAGUUGUCAAGGCCACCAUGAUCUUAUCUCAUCCUACCAGUUCAAAUGGGCUUUUCCACUACUGCUCAAAAUAGUAAUAAAACCACCAGCCACACAUUACAAAUGAGCUUUGCACUCAUCUCAAUUAAUCCUCACAAAGCUAACUGGAAGCCAAAAAGGCAAACAUUGUCCAUAUUUUACAGGCUGAAAUACUGUGACAGGCACAGGGUCACAUAGUAAAAACUGCCUGGAGUAUCCAGAUCUAGAACCCAAAUCUUCAUUACUUGUCUGGGGCAAACUUCACUGUAACCUGGAUAUAUGCCUUCCUCGCCUUGGAUUCAGCAAAUCCGUAGGAGGGUCUGCUCCUGAAAGGCUGUUUAAUGUUUCAAUGGGUUAAAAGAAUAAGAAUUUCUGCCCUCCUUUAUACUUUUUUUUUUUUUUUUUUUGAGACAGUGUCUCUCUUCUGUCGCCCAGGCUGGGGUGCUGUAGCAUGAUCUCAGCUCACUGUAACCUCCACCUCCUGGGUUCAAGCGAUUCUCCUGCCUCAGCCUGCCGAGUAGUUGGGAUUACAGGAGGCUGCCACCACAUCCAGCUAACUUUU
rnacentral:lncRNA from 10 species